rnacentral:misc_RNA from 1 species
GAAAUGCGAUAAGUAAUGUGAAUUGCAGAAUUCAGUGAAUCAUCGAAUCUUUGAACGCACCUUGCGCUCCUUGGUAUUCCUUGGAGCAUGCCUGUUUGAGUAUCAUGAAAUCUUCAAAGUAAAUCUUUUGUUAACUCAAUUGGUUUCUACUUUGGUAUUGGAGGUCUUUGCAGCUUCACACCUGCUCCUCUUUGUUCAUUAGCUGGAUCUCAGUGUUAUGCUUGGUUCCACUCGGCGUGAUAAGUUAUCUAUCGCUGAGGACACUGUAAAAUGUGGCCAAGGUAACUGCAGAUGAACCGCUUCUAAUAGUCCAUUGACUUGGACAAUACUUUUAUGAUCUGAUCUCAAAUCAGGUAGGACUACCCGCUGAACUUAAGC